UCCGAUAUGGUGUAGUGGCCAACAUGAUGCCCUCUCAUCUUGUGAGAGGUUAGGCAUAGCCCCGAGUUCGAUUCUCGGUUUCGGAA
rfam:Glomerella graminicola M1.001 genomic scaffold supercont1.1, whole genome shotgun sequence.